rnacentral:rRNA from 1 species
GUGAGUAAUGCUUAGGAAUCUGCCCAGUAGUGGGGGACACAGUCGGAAACGGCUGCUAAUACCGCAUACGCCCUACGGGGGAAAGCAGGGGAUCUUCGGACCUUGCGCUAUUGGAUGAGCCUAAGUCGGAUUAGCUAGUUGGUGGGGUAAAGCCCUACCAAGGCGACGAUCCGUAGCUGGUCUGAGAGGAUGAUCAGCCACAUCGGGACUGAGACACGGCCCGAACUCCUACGGGAGGCAGCAGUGGGGAAUAUUGGACAAUGGGGGCAACCCUGAUCCAGCCAUGCCGCGUGUGUGAAGAAGGCUUUCGGGUUGUAAAGCACUUUCAGCGAGGAGGAAGGCCUUAAAGUUAAUACCUUUAAGGAUUGACGUUACUCGCAGAAGAAGCACCGGCUAACUCCGUGCCAGCAGCCGCGGUAAUACGGAGGGUGCAAGCGUUAAUCGGAAUUACUGGGCGUAAAGCGCGCGUAGGUGGUUUGGUAAGCGAGAUGUGAAAGCCCCGGGCUUAACCUGGGAACGGCAUUUCGAACUGUCAGACUAGAGUGUGGUAGAGGGUAGUGGAUUUCCUGUGUAGCGGUGAAAUGCGUAGAUAUAGGAAGGAACACCUGUUGGCGAAGGCGGCUACCUGGACCAACACUGACACUGAGGUUCGAAAGCGUGGGGAGCAACAGGAUAGAUACCCUGUAGUCCACGCCGUUACGAUGUCAACUAGCCGUUGGGACUCUUGAAGUCUAGUG